UAAAUGAUCACGUUAUAAAUUAUGUCUUUUCAUACUUAACAACUUUAAUGUACAAAUUAUAAUAACAUAUCCUUACAAAGUAUUACUAAUUAAAACAUCGUGAGCAAUGAAACAACAUUCUCAAGAUACAUAUCCUAAUACGCAGUUCUGUUGUUGUACCUUAUUUUUAUCAUAGCUUUUCCUCCUAUACUAGAAUCAACUCUCCCAUUGGAGAGAGGAUAUUUCUUCUUCCAACACUUACCAUCUCUAUAAUUCGCAACGGCACAAAAACAAUCAUCAAGGCAAUUCUAUUGACACCAAUCUUCUGUUACUAGCCAAAAGUACGCAUAAUCAGAGAGAGGCCAAUUUGUGUUGGGGAUAUCAGUGAAACUAAAAUGGUCCAUUCCACGUGCCUCUCCAUCACAUUUUUGUGCAGCGAAAUUUGGUUUGCAUCCACUCAUCCUAUCACUUGGAUCUAUGAUAGAGUUGUUAGAUUAUUUAAUACUUUAAAAU
rnacentral:lncRNA from 1 species